rnacentral:rRNA from 1 species
GCUUAUGGCUGUACCACCCUGUCUGCGCCUGAUCUCGGAAGCUAAGCGGGGUCGGGCCUGUUUAGUACAUGGAUGGGAGACCGCCUGGGAAUACCAGGUGCUGUAA